rnacentral:rRNA from 1 species
UACGGGGGGGGGCAAGCGUUUGUUCGGAAUUACUGGGCGUAAAGGGCUCGUAGGCGGCCAACUAAGUCAGACGUGAAAUCCCUCGGCUUAACCGGGGAACUGCGUCUGAUACUGGAUGGCUUGAGUUUGGGAGAGGGAUGCGGAAUUCCAGGUGUAGCGGUGAAAUGCGUAGAUAUCUGGAGGAAUACCGGUGGCGAAGGCGGCAUCCUGGACCGGCAUUGACGCUGAGGAGCGAAAGCCAGGGGAGCAAAGCGGG